CGCAAGCCUGACGGAGCAAGACCGCGUGCGGGAUGACGGCCUAAUGGUUGUAAACCGCCUUUCUCUGGGAAGAUGAUGACGGUACCAGAGGAAUCAGCCUCGGCUAACUCCGUGCCAGCAGCCGCGGUAAUACGGAGGAGGCAAGCGUUAUCCGGAAUUAUUGGGCGUAAAGCGUCCGUAGGUGGUUAUUCAAGUCUGCUGUCAAAGCGUGGGGCUUAACUCCAUAGAGGCAGUGGAAACUGGAUGACUUGAAUGCGGUAGGGGUCGAGGGAAUUCCCAGUGUAGCGGUGAAAUGCGUAGAUAUUGGGAAGAACACCAGUGGCGAAAGCGCUCGACUGGGCCUGCACUGACACUGAGGGACGAAAGCUAGGGGAGCG
rnacentral:rRNA from 1 species